rnacentral:rRNA from 1 species
AGAGUUUGAUCCUGGCUCAGGAUGAACGCUGGCGGCGUGCUUAACACAUGCAAGUCGAGCGGAGAUAAAUUGAAAGCUUGCUUUUAAUUUAUCUUAGCGGCGGACGGGUGAGUAACGCGUGGGCAACCUGCCUCAUACAGAGGGAUAAUCAUGUGAAAAUGUGACUAAUACCGCAUGUCGUUUCGGGAGGGCAUCCUCCUGAAAGAAAAGGAGCAAUCCGGUAUGAGAUGGGCCCGCAUCUGAUUAGCUAGUUGGUGAGAUAACAGCCCACCAAGGCGACGAUCAGUAGCCGACCUGAGAGGGUGAUCGGCCACAUUGGGACUGAGACACGGCCCAAACUCCUACGGGAGGCAGCAGUGGGGAAUAUUGCACAAUGGGGGAAACCCUGAUGCAGCAACGCCGCGUGAAGGAAGACGGUUUUCGGAUUGUAAACUUCUAUCAAUAGGGACGAAGAAAGUGACUGUACCUAAAUAAGAAGCCCCGGCUAACUACGUGCCAGCAGCCGCGGUAAUACGUAGGGGGCAAGCGUUAUCCGGAAUUACUGGGUGUAAAGGGUGAGUAGGCGGCAUGGCAAGUAAGAUGUGAAAGCCCGAGGCUUAACCUCGGGAUUGCAUUUUAAACUGCUAAGCUAGAGUACAGGAGAGGAAAGCGGAAUUCCUAGUGUAGCGGUGAAAUGCGUAGAUAUUAGGAAGAACACCAGUGGCGAAGGCGGCUUUCUGGACUGGAAACUGACGCUGAGGCACGAAAGCGUGGGGAGCGAACAGGAUUAGAUACCCUGGUAGUCCACGCCGUAAACGAUGAGUGCUAGGUGUCGGAGGGGAACCUUCGGUGCCGCAGCAAACGCAAUAAGCACUCCACCUGGGGAGUACGAUCGCAAGAUUGAAACUCAAAGGAAUUGACGGGGGCCCGCACAAGCGGU